rnacentral:lncRNA from 1 species
AGCAAGAGCACCAACAACGUACCACCAGUGGUAAGAACCUCUUCCUUUCUUGCUUUUUGCGCACAAAACAGAGAAUCAAAGCAAAAAAAAAAUGGAAAAUAAAACACAAAGAAAAUCACCUUUCAAAAGAUUUUUUUUGCUCCAAUUUCCUGUUUUUAUGUAUUUCCUCAAUAAUUCUGAUACAAAAACGUAACCCCUUCUUUCUCUAUUGCUAUUUUUGUUAAAAAAAUAAGCAUACAAAAGAAAAAAAAAAGGAAUCGUAAUCACCUUUGAUUUUAUUAUUUUUGUAUUCUAAGAACUCUAUAUUUUCGUUCUCUUUACACUCAAUCCCCCUAUUACAGUAUAUUCAAUCUGCUUUUAUAGCCAUUAUGAAAUUAAUAAUAUAAAGAAUCAAAUCUUGCUCAUAUUUGAUUCACAAUCUUUGAUUUUCUUUCCAUUUCUGUGCAGGUGAAGAUUUCGGCUCGUGGUGCUUGGUGGCUGUGGCGCGAAAGUUUCCUCAGAACCCUAGGAGUUUCUGACAUUGUUUUAGGCCAUUGUUUUGGGCCUCUAUUUGGUUUGGGCCACAUAGGCCCGUUUGUAAUUUGGGCUCUUUUGACCUGGGCCAAAAUAGGGUAUUACAAGUGUUAUGAGUUUUAGUGUUUAAUGGGUGUAUUUUCUAAAGUUGUAAAAGAGUCUAUUUAUAGGUUAAAUUCG